GUGAAGCAAAAAACAUGGCGGAUUUCGCCCUUCUGCGCUUGCGCAGAAGCUUUGCUGACGCCACAUGGUCCCCUUUGCCCAUGGUAAUUACCACUGACCAGGCUCAAAUAUGAGCCCGCUACAAGAGAAUGCUCCCCCCUGUUUUUUUUUUUUAAAUUUUAUCUGUGAAAAGUGUGCAAAGAAUAUAGGCAAUACGAAUCUUUUGUACGCCUCCGCCACAAAUACGGUGUUUUGCAUUUACGAAGGAAAAAUAUCUUUUUGAAUCUGUCUGAUAUUUAAACUUCUACAAGCCCGAGGAAAGCGAGAAGAAAAGUCAGAAGCCUUGAAGUGAAACAGGCAAAAAAGCCCGGAAAACCAGAUGACUAAUUUGAAUUCUUAGCUAACUGGUAUUAACAGCCAUAACAGGCCUAUCAUUUUGAAGCCAAUAAACCAAUGCAUCAUCGACUCUGUAGGCCUAAGGCCUUAUACAGGACUGUGACAAACUAAUGAGUUGAUGUGUUUAACAAGAUUUGCACAUUAUGUGGUAUCACUGGUUCAUGUAUAAACAGAUGAAAUGGCAUCAUGAUACUUUGAGAACAAGAAUAAUAGUUGACUGGACUGU